rnacentral:rRNA from 1 species
AUUGAACGCUGGCGGCAUGCCUUACACAUGCAAGUCGAACGGCAGCACGGGAGCAAUCCUGGUGGCGAGUGGCGAACGGGGGAGUAAAGUAUCGGAACGUGCCCAGUCGUGGGGGAUAACGUAGCGAAAGUUACGCUAAUACCGCAUACGAUCUAUGGAUGAAAGCGGGGGAUCGCAAGACCUCGCGCGAUUGGAGCGGCCGAUAUCAGAUUAGGUAGGUGGGGGGGUAAAGGCUCACCAAGCCGACGAUCGGUAGCUGGUCUGAGAGGACGACCAGCCACACUUGGACUGAGACACGGCCCAGACUCCUACGGGAGGCAGCAGCGGGGAAUUUUGGACAAUGGGCGCAAGCCUGUUCCAGCCAUGCCGCGUGCAGGAUGAAGGCCUUCGGGUUGUAAACUGCUUUUGUACGGAACGAAAAGGUUUGACUUAAUACGUUGGACUCAUGACGGUACCGUAAGAAUAAGCACCGGCUAACUACGUGCCAGCCGCCGCCGUAAAAC